CCUACGGGAGGCAGCAGUGAGGAAUAUUGGUCAAUGGGCGCGAGCCUGAACCAGUCAAGCCGCGUGAAGGAUGACUGCCCUACGGGUUGUAAACCUCUUUUAUAAAGGAAUAAAGUGAGGCACGUGUGCCUUUUUGUAUGUACUUUAUGAAUAAGGAUCGGCUAACUCCGUGCCAGCAGCCGCGGUAAUACGGAGGAUGCGAGCGUUAUCCGGAUUUAUUGGGGUUAAAGGGAGCGUAGAUGGGUUGUUAAGUCAGUUGUGAAAGUUUGCGGCUCAACCGUAAAAUUGCAAUUGAUACUGGCAGCCUUGAGUACAGUUGAGGUAGGCGGAAUUCGUGGUGUAGCGGUGAAAUGCAUAGAUAUCACGAAGAACUCCGAUUGCGAAGGCAGCUUACUAGACUGCCACUGACAUUGAUGCUCGAAAGUGUGGGUAUCAAACAGGAUUAGAUACCCUUGUAGUC
rnacentral:rRNA from 1 species